rnacentral:rRNA from 1 species
ACGCUCGACACCUACAGGAGGCAGCAGUGGGGAAUAUUGCACAAUGGGGGAAACCCUGAUGCAGCGACGCCGCGUGGAGGAAGAAGGUCUUCGGAUUGUAAACUCCUGUUGUUGGGGAAAAAGNGGAUGGUACCCAACAAGGAAGUGACGGCUAACUACGUGCCAACAGCCGCGGUAAUCUGAGCGGGCUGGCAAGGC